GGGGCUGUAGCUCAGUGGCAGAGCGCUGUCUAGCAUGCAUGAGGCACUGGGUUCGAUCCUCAGCACCACA
rnacentral:tRNA from 1 species